AUUGAACGCUGGCGGCAGGCCUAACACAUGCAAGUCGAGCGGAUGAAGGGAGCUUGCUCCUGGAUUCAGCGGCGGACGGGUGAGUAAUGCUUAGGAAUCUGCCUGGUAGUGGGGGAUAACGUCCGGAAACGGGCGCUAAUACCGCAUACGUCCUGAGGGAGAAAGUGGGGGAUCUUCGGACCUCACGCUAUCAGAUGAGCCUAGGUCGGAUUAGCUAGUUGGUGGGGUAAAGGCCUACCAAGGCGACGAUCCGUAACUGGUCUGAGAGGAUGAUCAGUCACACUGGAACUGAGACACGGUCCAGACUCCUACGGGAGGCAGCAGUGGGGAAUAUUGGACAAUGGGCGAAAGCCUGAUCCAGCCAUGCCGCGUGUGUGAAGAAGGCCUUCGGAUUGUAAAGCACUUUAAGUUGGGAGGAAGGGCAGUAAGUUAAUACCUUGCUGUUUUGACGUUACCAACAGAAUAAGCACCGGCUAACUUCGUG
rnacentral:rRNA from 1 species